rnacentral:rRNA from 1 species
GGUUAAGCGACUAAGCGUACACGGUGGAUGCCCUGGCAGUCAGAGGCGAUGAAGGACGUGCUAAUCUGCGAUAAGCGUCGGUAAGGUGAUAUGAACCGUUAUAACCGGCGAUUUCCGAAUGGGGAAACCCAGUGUGAUUCGUCACACUAUCAUUAACUGAAUCCAUAGGUUAAUGAGGCGAACCGGGGGAACUGAAACAUCUAAGUACCCCGAGGAAAAGAAAUCAACCGAGAUUCCCCCAGUAGCGGCGAGCGAACGGGGAGCAGCCCAGAGCCUGAAUCAGUGUGUGUGUUAGUGGAAGUGUCUGGAAAGGCGCGCGAUACAGGGUGACAGCCCCGUACACAAAAAUGCACAUACUGUGAGCUCGAUGAGUAGGGCGGGACACGUGGUAUCCUGUCUGAAUAUGGGGGGACCAUCCUCCAAGGCUAAAUACUCCUGACUGACCGAUAGUGAACCAGUACCGUGAGGGAAAGGCGAAAAGAACCCCGGCGAGGGGAGUGAAAAAGAACCUGAAACCGUGUACGUACAAGCAGUGGGAGCACGCUUCGGCGUGUGACUGCGUACCUUUUGUAUAAUGGGUCAGCGACUUAUAUUCUGUAGCAAGGUUAACCGAAUAGGGGAGCCGAAGGGAAACCGAGUCUUAACUGGGCGUUAAGUUGCAGGGUAUAGACCCGAAACCCGGUGAUCUAGCCAUGGGCAGGUUGAAGGUUGGGUAACACUAACUGGAGGACCGAACCGACUAAUGUUGAAAAAUUAGCGGAUGACUUGUGGCUGGGGGUGAAAGGCCAAUCAAACCGGGAGAUAGCUGGUUCUCCCCGAAAGCUAUUUAGGUAGCGCCUCGUGAAUUCAUCUCCGGGGGUAGAGCACUGUUUCGGCAAGGGGGUCAUCCCGACUUACCAACCCGAUGCAAACU